UACGUAGGGUGCAAGCGUUGUCCGGAAUUAUUGGGCGUAAAGAGCUCGUAGGCGGUUUGUCGCGUCUGCUGUGAAAACGCGAGGCUCAACCUCGCGCCUGCAGUGGGUACGGGCAGACUAGAGUGCGGUAGGGGAGAUUGGAAUUCCUGGUGUAGCGGUGGAAUGCGCAGAGUAUCAGGAGGAACACCGAUGGCGAAGGCAGAUCUCUGGGCCGUAACUGACGCUGAGGAGCGAAAGCGUGGGGAGCGAAUGGG
rnacentral:rRNA from 1 species